rnacentral:rRNA from 1 species
ACGCUCGACACCUACGGAGGCAGCAGUGGGGAAUAUUGCACAAUGGGGGAAACCCUGAUGCAGCGACGCCGCGUGAAGGAUGAAGUAUUUCGGUAUGUAAACUUCUAUCAGCAGGGAAGAAAGUGACGGUACCUGACUAAGAAGCCCCGGCUAACUACGUGCCAGCAGCCGCGGUAAUCUGAGCGGGCUGGCAAGGC